rnacentral:rRNA from 1 species
UAAAACGUAGGAGGCGAGCGUUAUCCGGAUUUACUGGGCGUAAAGCGCGUGCAGGUGGUUUAGUAAGUUGGAUGUGAAAGCUCCUGGCUUAACUGGGAGAGGUCGUUCAAAACUACUAGACUUGAGGAUGGGAGAGGGAAUCGGAAUUCCGGGUGUAGUGGUGAAAUGCGUAGAUAUCCGGAGGAACACCAGUGGCGAAAGCGGAUUCCUGGCCCAUCUCUGACACUCAGACGCGAAAGCUAGGGUAGCAAACGGG